rnacentral:rRNA from 1 species
UACGGAGGAUCCAAGCGUUUAUCCGGAUUUAUUGGGUUUAAAGGGUGCGUAGGCGGCUUAUUAAGUCAGGGGUGAAGACGGUGGCUCAACCAUCGCAGUGCCCUUGAUACUGAUGAGCUUGAAUACACUAGAGGAGGCGGAAUGUGACAAGUAGCGGUGAAAUGCAUAGAUAUGUCACAGAACACCGAUUGCGAAGGCAGCUUACUAUGGUGUGAUUGACGCUGAGGCACGAAAGCGUGGGGAUCAAACAGG